rnacentral:rRNA from 1 species
UACGUAGGUGACCAGCGUUGUCCGGAUUUACUGGGCGUAAAGAGCGCGCAGGCGGUCGUUCAAGUCGAGUGUGAAAGCCCCCGGCUCAACUGGGGAGGGUCACUCGAUACUGAUCGACUUGAAGGCAGGAGAGGGAAGCGGAAUUCCCGGUGUAGUGGUGAAAUGCGUAGAUAUCGGGAGGAACACCAGUGGCGAAGGCGACUACCUGGCCUGUUCUUGACGCUGAGGCGCGAAAAGCUAGGGGAGCAAACGGG